rnacentral:rRNA from 1 species
UACGAAGGGGGCUAGCGUUGUUCGGAAUCACUGGGCGUAAAGCGCACGCAGGCGGAUCGAUAAGUCGGGGGUGAAAGCCCGGGGCUCAACCUCGGAAUUGCCUUCGAUACUGUCGGUCUCGAGUCCGGGAGAGGUGAGUGGAAUUCCUAGUGUAGAGGUGAAAUUCGUAGAUAUUAGGAAGAACACCAGUGGCGAAGGCGGCUUUCUGGACUGUAACUGACGCUGAGGCAAGAAAGCGUGGGGAGCAAACAGG